GACGGAGGAAAAGAAACUAACAAGGAUUCCCCUAGUAACGGCGAGUGAAGCGGGAUGAGCUCAAAUUUAAAAUCUGGCGGCCUCAGGUCGUCCGAGUUGUAGUCUAGAGAAUCGUUUUCCGCGUUGGCCUGUGUACAAGUCCCUUGGAACAGGGCGUCAUAGAGGGUGAGAAUCCCGUCCUUGACACAGAUUACCAAUGCUUUGUGAUGCGAUCUCGAAGAGUCGAGUUGUUUGGGAAUGCAGCUCAAAAUGGGUGGUAAAUUCCAUCUAAAGCUAAAUAUUGGCGAGAGACCGAUAGCGAACAAGUACCGUGAGGGAAAGAUGAAAAGCACUUUGGAAAGAGAGUUAAACAGUACGUGAAAUUGUUAAAAGGGAAACGAUUGAAGUCAGUCAUGCUUUCCGAGACUCAGCCGAUUCUGUCGGUGUACUUCUCGGUUGGCAGGCCAGCAUCAGUUUCGAUCUGUGGAAAAGGUUGGAGGGAACGUGGCAUCUCCGGAUGUGUUAUAGCCCUUCUUCGAAUACAUAGAGCGGGACUGAGGAACGCAGCGCGCCUUUUAUUAGGUUGGCCCUCGGGUACAUACGCGCUUAGGAUGCUGGCAUAAUGGCUUUAAACGACCCG
rnacentral:rRNA from 1 species